CCCCUCUGCUACAGCCUCAGGGACUGCUUCAGCCUCCCUGCCUCCACCUCACCUCCAAGAAGCCACAGUGCGACCCCAAAAGGCCUCUUCAUUCUGGGGGCUUCCCCCGAGCCCACCUCAGCAGGUGGAAGAGGAGACCCAGCACAACCCCAAGCAGCCUCCAAAGCCCAACACCCUGCACAAGAGAACCCAAAAAAAAACCCCACAGAGGGCAGAAAGCUGCCCCCUAACCCCCUAGAGAGGAAGCCACUCACCCUUCAACCCUCUCUCUUGCCCACCUCACCCUCAUCUGCCUCUUUUAUUGCCCCCGAGGGGCCGCAUCCUGCCCUGCUCUGCCCCACCAUUGGCUCUCCCGGGGCAGCCUCCUCGUCAGCUCCAGCUGCUGCUUGGAGAGGCAAUCUGGGGGCACCUGGGGGAGCAGCCUUCUCUCCUGAGCCCUCCUCCUGCCCCAGCCACCCCACUCGCACCCCAGCACCUCCUCCGUGCACUUGCACGUCGCCCGGUUUGGCGUUAUUCGGGGGAGCAGCCUGGGGGUGCCUCUUUUUUGGCCGGGCUGUGGCAGGAGGCAGCAGGGAGAGACACCCAGCAGGGACCCGUGCUCUGCACAAAUCCUUUAAAUUUCAGCCGGGGCUGCUGGGCAGCUCUUCUCAUGCCAUGUUACAUGUCCAUCUGUCCGUCCAUCCCCAGCAGCUUCAGCCGAGAGCUGAUUUUCACCCGCAGCGCCCUGGCACCAGGUACACGAGGAUGCUGGGGCUGCUGGCACAGCUCAUCCUGCCCGGGACCACAGCAUCAAAUAGCCGCUCGCAGCAGGGCUUGGUGCGGCACUUGGGCAGCUCUGGGGACUCCGAAGAGUCUCUGGGGACCCACCCUGGCUUUGCCAGCCCUCCAAAACGUCACCCUUUUUGGCAAAGCCCUGUAAAAACCCACACAGGCAGGGGCACAGUGCGGGGAGCACGGCCUGGAAUGACCAGAGAGGCUGGGGCAGGAGGAAGGGCAGCUUUUGCCAAACGGGGGAAAAGCAGCUAUUAA
rnacentral:lncRNA from 1 species